rnacentral:rRNA from 1 species
UUGACCUGGCGGCAUGCUUAUCACAUGCAGUCGAACGGUAACAGGCCGCUGGGAUCCCUUCGGGGUGACUGCUGACGAGUGGCGGACGGGUGAGUAACGCGUAGGAAUCUGCCUGGCAGCGGGGGACAACUCCGGGAAACCGGAGCUAAUACCGCAUACGCCCUACGGGGGAAAGACGGGGAUCUUCGGACCUGUCACUGCCAGAUGAGCCUGCGUCGGAUUAGCUUGUUGGUGGGGUAACGGCCUACCAAGGCGACGAUCUGUAGCUGGUCUGAGAGGAUGACCAGUCACACUGGGACUGAGACACGGCCCAGACUCCUACGGGAGGCACGUGGGAAUUUGGACAAUGGGCGCAGCCUGAUCCAGCAAUGCCGCGUGUGUAGAGAAAGC